GCGGCUAUCUCAGACUGGAUAAGAAGUAAGAACUCUGAAGGACUGGAAAGGCUAAAAAUGUCCAUUGUCCAGCACCCUCUUACUCGUGAUUGUCGUGAUUGCAGUUCAUACUUUGUCCUACAAUCGGUGUUAUAGUUGUCUGCAAGGUCCUUUUGCCUGAUGAUUGAAGGUUCAUGGUCUGAAGAAAUUAUAUUUGGCCCAAGAAUUCUUACAAUCUUAGAUCAUACGGCCAGUCUCAUAUAGAUCUGCUAUCAAGUCUGUUAAACAAAUAUGAGGAUUAAUAAGUGAAUAGAGUGGACUUAUGAUAAUUUGCAGGAUGAGUGGUUUUAAUUAUUCCUGACUCCGAAUCUUUCUCUUGUCAACAGGUAAAAAACAUAUAUUCAUGGCGAGA
rnacentral:misc_RNA from 1 species